rnacentral:tRNA from 1 species
GCUGUACGUGCUCGGCGGCAGGCUGCGGCUGGUGCUCGCCGAGCACGACGUCGUCCUCCAGGUGGGCGAGGCCGCCGAGUUCGACACCCGGGUGCCGCAC